CAAAGCUCCAACUUGGUUGACUAAAUUUGCAUCUCUUAAUGUCCUUGCUGUGAGAGAGGAAUCUUGAAAUGCUUACCCAAACUAUGAUCAGUGAGAUCACUUCUGAAGGGUAGCAGAUAACAAAACUUGAUCAGAUAUUGCUUAAUGGAAAAAUAUAACACUAUGUCAGAGAAGAAACAACGGCGCUGGUGUCAUUGGAUUCACCGGCAGCAUCGGCAAAGAUGUCUGGAAGUUUGGCGUCAAAUCCGUCAGCGGUGACAUCAAUCAUCAAUGUGAUAGAGCUCUGUCAUGCAUGUGUUGACCGUUAAUUUCGCUGCCGAAGAAAGGAAGUAUGCCUACCUCAAGGUCACUCGGAAAUCUCUCCAAGUAUCCGUCCAUAGCUUAUAAUACAAUUUAGUAUACUUCUUCUCUUGUUAGUGUCAAUUUUGUUGAAGAUUUGGUACAUAUUGGUUAAAAUAUUUGCUUGUAUAGGUUUGUCGAUAAAUUUUUUUGAAUAUUUUUUCAAUUACUUGGCAUUCGGUUUCCAUGUGUUUGAUUACCGGCAGAUGCUGUGUCGAAGGAGGUCUAUGCACAAGUGUCACUAAUUCCUGAUAAUCAGUUCUCUCGUUGUCUCACCCUCCAGUUUCUCAAAUCCGGUGAAGUUCUUCCAAUCGAACCAUGAAAUCUUGAAUCAGUUGGUGUAUUACUUGCAUCAACAAGAUAUGGAAGCGGCAGCGCUGCACAAGUGACACCCUUCAUUAGCCAGGGUGUUGACUGACUGGCUUUCAUUCGGAAAUGCGCGCCCAUUGUUGUUAUCCUUGGAGAGUUGAUGUUGCUUCCAUACAAAUGCAGCUCAGUACCUAAAACACUGAUUGACCAUUUUUGUGAUGAACGACAAUCGAAUGGCGAGCAAUUUCAGCUAUACCUUGCAUCAAACCAACAAUUCAAGAUUGUCACUACUUAUUAACACGCUUGAGUUUCACAGGACUGAUAAAGAUAUUACUCCUAUUGGUGGAUUUCCCCAUUAUGGUGUGGUGAUGGUUGAUUACCUGUUGAUCAAGGGAUGUUGUUUUGUCCUAAGAAGACGCUAAAAAAAAUAUUAGGUAAAAAAACUAACCAUCUUCCAUGACCAAAACCUAGAGUUGUUGGAAUGUGUAUGUGUAAUUGUUGUAGGAUACAA